ACAUAGUAACAUUUAAAUGUGUAUUUCUCAUUCUUUCUACAGGAUCACAAAGCUAUAUAGGGCAAACAACACCUCUAAAAAACACAAGGUUCAAUAAGUUGUCCAGAAAAACCUACAGAAGCGGGGGCAAUAAGACCAAGCCUUACGCUAGGCCUGAGACAGAGUACACAGUGUGUCAAGAAGAGGGGCCAUCCGGAAUAAC